rnacentral:lncRNA from 1 species
UCACUCUUUCUUUCUCUCUUUGUUGGUGUGUAGAAAUGAGAGUUGAAGCUCUCCUUUUAUAGCCAAAGCUUCACUCUCUAAAGCCUACCAUAUUUGACAAUUUACACACACUUUUCACAAUUCAACAAAGUUGGCUACCAAACCAAAGAAAUUCAACAAAGUUGGCUACCAAACCAAACUAAUUCAACAAGGUUGGUUACCAACCAAACCAAGUCAACAAGGUUGGCUACCAAACCAAAGAAAACUUUUAUUAGGCACAUGCCUAGUACUUCUUCAAUGAGAUGGAC